AUUUUAGUGGACAAAAGCAGCACCAAAUACGGCUUUUCUCUCAAAGCAUGUCUGUCAUCUCUUUCAUUUUAUCAUCUUCAUCUUCAACACCACUACACAGCCCCUACGACAAACUCCAACCACUCCCCUGUGCAGCCAUCCCCCUCAACUCAAAUUUAUUGAAUUUUCAAAAUGGUUCAGCGGGAAAUGGGGUUGUCAGCAUAAAUCUCGCCCUUCUCCUAUUUUAUUUGACUCUUCAGGUCGCAGAAGUCUCAUCCUCUCCACUGUUAGCUUGGUGGAGAGGAGAAAAUCUACACCCUAGGAGGAUAAGGUUUUUCCACCCGAUUUUCUACUCUAAAUCAAUUUGAAAGAGGUAAUCUUUCCCCCCCCUCACCGUAUCUGUUUAAGCCCUGGAUUGUCCCAUCAACAAUUUGAAUUUCAAGUUUGAGUCCAAUUUAGAGCCUUUUGAGAAGCUUGUACACUCCAAAAUAUGCCUAUAAAGGAGGGUUUCAUCCAUUCCUUUGGGGCAAGGAAGAAAAUUAACGAAAGAGUGAAAUUAGUGUAAAAAAUGAGUGAAAAAUACAGCAAAUUAGAGUGCAGACGUUCGGAAUCCUCGGAGUUGAAUUUGCCGUUGAAAAACCCUUGUCGUCGUAGCUCCAAUUUCGCUACCCGGAAAAAGGAUGGCGUUAUCAUAUUUUUGUGAUCGACACUCAGUCAAUCAAUUCACAAAGGUAAACUUUCUUUAAGGAUUAGCAAAUUCUUUUUUAGAAAAAUUUGAUGAAGUGUUUAAUUGAUUAUCUCACCUUAAAAAAUAAUUUGUUAAUAAAAUGGAUGUAACAAUCUCCAUGUUUUUCUUAAAAAAAAAUAACAAACUAGAAUUUCAAAUACUAACUCACAGGGGAGAGCAGGUCACAAAAUUCUUAGGUGUUCGCUAAUUCUAACCUUUUUUUUAUAAUUCGAAUGCUUUACGUUAUAUUUUCAACACUUGUUCGAAUUUUCAGGGGUAGAAAUACGAGGUAUAUACAUUUCAUUCGCUACUACGUACAAGGUAUAUUUUACUAUUUUCGUAACAACUAUUUUUAUCACUUUACUAUUAUCAUCGUCAUUAUUAUUAUUAUUAUUAUUAUUAUUAUUAUUGCUAUUAUUAUUAUCGUUAUUAUUAUUUAUCAUAGUUUACAUUACAAUUAGUUUUACUCUAAUCUACUCAUAAUCUCUCACAUAUUCUUCGCGUGCUCUUAAAUAUGUAUAGUUUUGCAAAUAAAUUCUCACACCCAUGAAAGUACCUUAUUCACUCUAUAAGGAUGUAUUUAACCUCACAUAUAUUCAAAUAACCUUCUUUGAAAUUAUAAGACUUACAUUUUUUAAUAUGUGUGUAAAUUAUAAUAUCACCCUUUUCACAUCUAGAAUACAUGUUUAUUUUUGCAAUAAUGAUAUUACUCCCUUGUACGUGAUAGCAUCAAGUUUGUCAUACCUUAAGUUUUCUUUCUUUUAUAUAAAAUGAUAAAUAGAAAAUAAUAAUAAAAGUUUUUCUUAUCACUGGUUUAGAAAAUAACAAAAUAAUUUUUUUUUUCAAAUAUUUUCCUAAACUAAGCGUAAGGACUAUCUUCAGAUAGGCUCUGAGGGAUGCCUAACACCUUCCCCUCGAGUAACCAGAACCUUUAUUAGAAUCUCAAAAUAUUUUCAAUAGGCCAAAACAGAAAUCGAUUUUUCCUAGUUUUCCUAAAAAGUUAGGUGGCGACUCUAAAAUGAAUUUUCAAAACCCGAGAGUCACGACACGCCACCACAUGUUGCAUGUUGUUUCGACCGGUUUGAAAUAGAGUGCGACAGAAUGGCGACUCUACUGGUGAUGUAAUGAACUUAGGUUUUAACCUUAACACGCUUAGUUUAGGAUCUUUAUGCUUUUAUUGUAUUAUUUGCUUUACAUGUGUUUAUAUCAUGCUUUGGGUGAAAGGACGCAAGGCAAGUCCAAACUUGCGUUCCUUAUUUGUUUGAACAACACUACAUGUUACUGCUUUAUCACUUACAUUUUCCUAUCGAGUCUUUGGUCGUACACAAUUUACACACGGUGGUUCAUGCGGGGGUGUCUUACACUCCUCCAAACCUUUUUUGGAUUCUUUAGUUUCAGAGUCGGUACAAUUAGGUUAAUGCGCCUUCUCGUAGCUAUUCAGUCCCACUCUUAAAAUAUUUAGGAAAAUAAUCUUACUCUAUAAAUAGGUCAUGUCGCAUACAUCUUAGGCGAGAUGGUCCAAGGCAUCGUCAUCUCAAUUAGGAAACCACCCUUUUGUCAAAGGUUACAAACCUGUCGACAUAUUUUUGUGAGAAAAUUGGUGUGAACGGUCAAAACUAAAACACAUAAUGGAUUUGAGGUAAAUGACUUACCAUAUCCUUUUCUUUUCCUUUCAGAUGAAUAUUAACCCAAAUUUGCCAAAUAUUCAAAUGGUUAUUUGCCAAAUAUCCAAAUGGUCAUCUCUACCCCUGAUAACCUGCAGAACUGGUGGAGAAAUAUCUUUGUGGCGCAUGGUGCGGAGGUUCGGGAACACUUGGGUGCUCUAUUAUCGCUAAUGAGGGUUCGAGCUAAUAAAGCCCUCAUUACGCUAUUGAUGGAAUUUUGGGAGCCGAACACUAUGACCUUCAAGUUUCUAGAUUUUGAGAUCACCCUUACCCUAGAAGAAGUUAGUGACUUCGCUGAGCUACUACUUCGAGGGAAGUUGCCGGUACUCCCGUCACCUGUAAGGAAGUUGCAUUUCUUGGGUCUGUUGGGAUUGGAUAUCUUUUCAUCACUAAGGAAUGUGGAAGAUGGGAAGUUAAAGUUGGAUUACCUUUUCAGAAGAUACAACCGUUUGGAGAGUUACGACGAGUACCGAAAUGAGUUUGUUUGUACCUACUUUUGGAUGACCAUAGAGAAGGAUAGAAUCCGAUACGUGUAGAAAUGUCACCAAUGUCAAGUUCAUGAGGAUUUUAUACGGGUGCCGCCAAACGAGCUUAAUGUGAUAGGUUCUCCUUGGCCGUUUGCUGGUUGGGGCAUGGAUGUUAUUGGGCUCAUAGAGCCUCCUGCGUCCAAUGGACAACAUUUUAUCUUGGUAGCUAUCGACUAUUUCACAAAAUGGGUUGAAGCUUCAACACAUAAGGUCGUAACCAAGAAGGUGGUAGCAGAUUUCAUCUGCAAUAACUUAGUUUGUCGGUUUGGAAUCCCAGAGUCAAUCAUAACAGAUAACGGGGCCAAUCUCAAUAGCGACCUAAUGACAGAUUUGUGAAAGGUUUAAGAUCUCUUAUAGAAACUCCACGACAUAUCGACCGCAAAUGAAUGGAGCAGUUGAAGCUGAAACAAGAAUAUCAAGAGAAUCUUGAGGAAGAUAGUAGACGGCAACAGGGAAUGGCAUGAGAAGCUACCAUAUGCUUUGCUCGGCUAUGGCACCAUAAUCAGAACAUCCACUAGGGAAACUCUAUACAUACUGAUUUACGGUUCAGAGGCAGUGAUACCUGCAGAAGUAGAGAUACCCUCACUGAGAGUCAUCUAAGAGGUCGGUUUAGAUGACGCUGAAUGGAUUCAUAGCAGGAUCGAACAAUUGAUGCUUAUUAGACGCAGUGUGUCAUGGUCAACUCUAUCAAAAUUGAAUGAUCAAGGCAUUCAACAAGAAAGUCAAGCCUUCACACCUGGACAAUUGGUAUUGAAGAAGAUAUUUCCUCACCAGGAGAAACUAAAGGGAAAUUUGCAUCAAAUUGGCAAGGUCCCUACAUAGUUCACCGAGUACUCUUAGAGGGAGCAGUGAUCCUUGCAGAGAUGGACGACACAGUAAGCACGAAGCCGAUCAAUUCAAACACCAUCAAGAAGUAAUACAUUUGAAAACAUUAAGACUAGUUAUUUUUUCGUACUUCUGCAUUUUUCUCUAAUGUAAAAGAACUACGUAUUCGCCUGACUUCCCACGGUGGGAUACAUAGGCAACCCAUAUAGGGUUCGGUUUCCCUUAGAAAAACCCAAAAACAUUAUCCUUUUAUGUAUUUAGAACUACGCUCGACCUGACUUUCCAUGACGGGAUACGUAGGCAAUCCUUAUGGGAUUUGGUCCCUUCAUAUUAUAACCCUUUCAUUGUACUGAACUACGGCCUGACCUGAUUACACUUGGAUGCGUAGGCAGACCGAGUCAGGCCUGGUCACUGCAUCAUUUUAAUUUAUCUGGUUCAGAUCAAAGGUCGCCUUGCCAAGACAAGCCAAUUUACCUUUGGGCAAAUGUCUCACCGUCGGAGGCUUUACUUUUCAAACACUGCUCGCCAGUCAGACAUCGCAUACUUCUCAAUAACUACCCACCAGUCGGAUGGUGUGUAUUUUUUCAACAACUGCACACCAGUCGGAUGGCUUAUUCUCCAGUUGCUCUCCAGUCGGAUGGCUCAAUUGCUCGUCAGUCGGAUGGCUUUUAUUUUACAACAACUGCUCAGCCGACAUAGGCUCUGACUUUCAAGCAAUUGCCCCGCCAGUCGGAGGCUUUUACUUUCAAGCAACUGCUCAGCCGACGGAGGCUCUUUACAUUUUAGUUAUCGCCUCACCAGUCGGAGGCCUCCACAAAUAGAUAUCACAAUACUAGUUUGAAUAUCUAACUCUACUCUUUACAUUACAAUUUUUGAACAACAGGUACUUUUCACUCUUUUAACCUAUUUUGCAGGUCCAUGCAAUACAACGUGGACCUACCCUCUUAGCAGCAAACUAGGGCAAGCUAGUGGAAUGUCAAGCAUUCCUAGCUACGUCAAAGAUUCCGGUGAAGAAACUCAACUCAAAUCAACUCGGCUCAGUCAUCUCAUUUUCCUAGCGUCAUAGCCCAGUGUCGUCUUGAUCUGACACUGAGCAAUUUUUAAAAGUUCAUAAUUCCCUUUUCUCUCAAGAUCCUCAGCAGAUGUUGCUAUCCAUCGAUCUCACAUUCCCAGCCAUCUCAAACAACCAAUUUAGGAUAAAUGCACUCAUAUCUAUUUCAUACAUGCUAAAAUCUUUGUUAUCAUCCUCAAGGGAACCCAGUGUUACCAUAAUUCCACGCUGGGUAAAUUUUGAUAUUUAUCAAAAUUUUGCUAUGGUUUGAACUAUAGAUGGCCUGACUUUUCCUGAUACCCGAGAUAUAUAGGUAGCUCAGAAAUCGGAGCCCAACCAUAAUCUUCCAAAUAUUUUGUUUCGCCCGAGGCAAAAUGGGUUACGUCAACGUGAUUGUCCAAAGAUUUUCACACUAAUCUUUUGUCAAUCAGGGGCAACUGUUGACACCCAAUUUUGACUCGGUCUGUUUCCUUUAAUUAUUUUCGAAAGUACCCAUCUCUAUUUGAAUGCAUUAUCAUGUGGGGAUGUUCUGUGUAAUAUGUCUAAUUACAUAUGAGUUCAAAGCAGUAAAGUAUUCUUGAAUAUGAAGGACUAACCUUAGAUCUAAAGUUCCUUUUUUUCUUUUCUCUUGCAAAUUUCUAAUUUUUAAGUGUUAUUCUCAUCUCGUUUCUUUCUGAAUAUGAUUAUUUUGCAUCAGUAAUGUGUGACAUAUGUCAUUUCCUAUAAGGGUCUCUCUAAGUACUAAGUGGCUGGCAUAAGUCACAACCUUUAAAUAGGAUCAAAAUCAGAAUUACUGCACCCUAAAAUUAUGUUGGUUUAGUAUGUUCUCGACUCUGUUAACCUGCUUGCCACAUGAACUAGUGUUUGGACCCAUCCUUGUACAUCUGUCUAAGUUCCCCAAUGUGCAAGUUGUUUGUCUAAGUUCCCCCUUAGUCUUUCAUUUGACUAGUUACAAACAACAACUUGAAGCAAAAAUAGCUUUCUGGUAGUUUGGUUUAGAUAAAACUGAGGCAUAUUUGUAGAGUAACUGAUUGUUUAAAAUUUAGUGUGACGUUGGUUUGGGUACUUUGACAUGGUAAUGGUUUCUUAAUUUUUUUUCCUGUACUCGUCCAUGAGGUUACAAGACCCCCGCAGCCAUUAAAUUAGGCAUGAAAACUGUUUCCAAAAAAUAUAAGAUAACAAAACAUGUUGACAUAUUUUCAAGUAAAUGUAGAUGUUAAAAUCUAGACGUAAACUUUUCCUUCUGUGUUACGCACAGAAUCAUAUUGGUAUCCAUGAGCUAUCAUUUUUCUGUGAUUUUGAAACCUGUUAAGGCGAUGCUGAAGUGACAAUCUGACUCAUUUUUUUAAGGGUCAAAGCUUUACCAAACUGUCUGUAGCGGAAUUGUAGUACCUUUUUGCAUGAACACUUGAACAUGACAUCUUGUUGUCAUUAUUUUAAGAUAGACGUUUAUUUAAAAGUGAUUUUGAACUUAUAACUUAGCAUAAGAACAGGUUGUACAAGCCUUAAACUUCUGAAAGGAUUUCUUUUUUUUGUUAACUUGGGCAUUAAGAAUGAUUAGCGAGGCUUGACAACUCAAUGUAAAGAUAGUUAUUUUUUAACUAGUUUGAAUAUCUUUUUCUCUGGCUAAGCAUGUCCCAAUUUGUUUUCUUUUAGUAUAAGUAAUUAGCUUAAAUAAUUCGUCUAGUUUGAGCUCUAGAGCUAAGAUAAACAAGUUGGAUGUCUUAACUUCCGAAAGAUUGCCUGAGCCUCGAUUUUGGAAUUUGCACAAGAGAAGUGUCUCACCCAUUUCUUUUCAACUCAUAGGAUGAUACAUCGUGUUUAAAUUUCUCAGAGAGUGUAAAUUCUCUUUUUAAUGUUCAACUGUCAUUACUAUUUUCUAAGAAAUCAAUUUCGCUAAAGUCGGUGAUCACAGGUGUCUUGCUUUCUUACCUGGGAUACUCGUAAUUCAGUUUUUUAAUCGCUAAGACACCUUGAAUCAGUCAUUUCACUCAUGUCCGUUCACAGUCCAUCGUGUUUCACUUACGGGUUACGAACACAUGCGAUUAAGUUAUGACUUUGUGCUCAUCCAUCAUGCAGUUUAGCUCCUAACUUUUGUUUGUUUGGCUUUAAAAUCUAUGCUCCAAGUUGUAUGAAUAUUACCUUCUCAAACCUCCAUUGAUCAUCUCUGUUUAGGAUCUGUUAAAUUCAUGUCACCAAGUAAAAGAAUCCAAGAGUCUGCUGGCCAACUUUGCUUGAGUUCCUAAGUCAAAUUUGAUUUAAAGUGUCAAAUUUGACAAGGACUAGAGGUGAAUAUGUGAUCCCUCGAUGCUUGCAAUUUUUCUAGAAUUAAUAGUCGUCUUAGCCCCUUUUUAGUUUGGUAAAUCGAGUUUAAAGUCGUCAUGUUCUCAUUAUUGUCGGGACGUUCUUUCAUAUAAGGUGCCAAACUUUUGAUGUUGUUUAUAAAGAGUCGACGCAUGCUCUUUCUUAAAACAGUCGGUUUGGAAAUCUUACGUACAUUAGUAAACUUGGGUUAGUUUAAUAAAAUCACUUUUCAUUGUAAACAUUGGAUAGAAUUGGUUUAACUUCAUACAGUUCUUUUAGUUGUCAAAUUGCCCAAUUUAAUAUCUGGUCGUGGUCUCUUUGAUUAAUUUCCAGAGGAUUAAAACAUUUAUGUUAAUUCUCUAUAGUCGUUUGAUCAUAUCAUGGGCAUUCCAAAGCUUAAAUAUUGGUUUACUUAUUCACUUAUUUUAUCUUAACUCCAUCCCUCUCGACUUAUUUAUUUGUUGUUUGGGUUUUUCUUUUUUUUUAUUCAUACUUGAGAAGAUUACCUUCAUAAAUUCUUAUCAAUUACGUCAUUUUGGAUUUGUUGGGUUUUAUGUUUCCAGCUAAAUUCUAGCGUUCGUGGUGAACUCUAUUCGCCAUUCUAAGUGGAAUUUGGUGAAUUUGUUAAGUUUAUAAAUAACUUUGAUGGUUAAGUGACCACUUUGUGCUGAGAGUUUCAUGUUUUGGAUAUAAUAGGUAUCUUAACCAUCACUAAGGGAUAGCAAAAAAAAAGUUUAAAGAAAUAAUGUUUUCCUGAUCAUUUGAACCCUUUGAUAUGCAUUGAGAAAAAAUUAAAAUUAUCCCUUGAAAAGUCUUUUGGAUCUUAGGAAAUUUACUAUCACUAUGGUGUAGCGUUGAAGGUUAAUGAUAAGGUCCUAUUAAUAUGCAAAGUCUUCCGAGGAUAAUUAGUUUGGAAUACUAGCUUUAACUUAAGCAUUUACCCGAUUCUUAUGUGAAAUGUAUUCAUGAGUAUGUGUUUCUUCAUAACCAACAAUUAUUUAUUUUAUUUUAGUUACUAAUCUUUAUUUUAUUUUAUUUUUUGUUUCAUGUAAUCUUGGAGAUGGAGUUUCAAUCGAAACUCGUUUUGACCCGACUAUCGGGUCAAAGUCUACUAGAAUCACAAGAGCCUCGGAGUCGCGCGAGAUAGAAGUUUGAACUCUAAAAUGGAGUCUAGUACUCCUAGCUGUUUCUUUCUUUAGUUUACUCAUAUUAUGUUACGCUUUCUUUUGGAUGUUAGCCAACUCUAUUUUAUCAUUACAUUUGCUUGUGGUAGCUUUAUUUGUUUAUAAUUGCUUUGUUACGUAUCAAAUCUUUAAAUAGGAUGGCGUUAUCAUAUUUUUGUGACCGACACUCGGUCAAUCAA